AUUGAACGCUGGCGGCAGGCCUAACACAUGCAAGUCGAGCGGAUGACGGGAGCUUGCUCCUUGAUUCAGCGGCGGACGGGUGAGUAAUGCCUAGGAAUCUGCCUGGUAGUGGGGGACAACGUUUCGAAAGGAACGCUAAUACCGCAUACGUCCUACGGGAGAAAGCAGGGGACCUUCGGGCCUUGCGCUAUCAGAUGAGCCUAGGUCGGAUUAGCUAGUUGGUGGGGUAAUGGCUCACCAAGGCGACGAUCCGUAACUGGGCUGAGAGGAUGAUCAUUCACACUGGAACGGAGACACGGUCCAGACUCCUACGGGAGGCAGCAGUGGGGAAUAUUGGACAAUGGGCGAAAGCCUGAUCCAGCCAUGCCGCGUGUGUGAAGAAGGUCUUCGGAUUGUAAAGCACUUUAAGUUGGGAGGAAGGGCAGUAAGUUAAUACCUUGCUGUUUUGACGUUACCGACAGAAUAAGCACCGGCUAACUCUGUGCCAGCAGCCGCCGUAA
rnacentral:rRNA from 1 species